rnacentral:rRNA from 1 species
AGAGUUUGAUCCUGGCUCAGGACGAACGCUGGCGGCGUGCUUAACACAUGCAAGUCGAACGAGGCACUUGUGCCUAGUGGCGAACGGGUGAGUAACACGUGAGCAACCUGCCCUUGGCUCUGGGAUAGCCUCCGGAAACGGGGAUUAAUACCGGACAUGACUCCUUACGGCAUCGUUUGGGGUGGAAAGUUUUUCGGCCA